CUGUCUGCUGAAGGUGCCGAAGGUCCAUCCGAUAAGAGAUCAAGCUGAAGGAACCGAGAGAGCCAGGAUGAGGCAGUACGUCAGCACAAGCCUCCGUGUCUGUGUUGUCUCGCAGCGACCGUCUGUCCACUUCAGGGGGAGGCCUUGGGAGCAGCUGAAGAGAGAGGAACCUUCUAGGUAUCCCGGAAGGUGACAGCCACAGUGUCCGACUCCGUUGACUCCUAGUAGUCUGACGAUGGCAGGAACCUCUGAGUCAGCCCAGGUGCCCCUCCUCUGCAUCGAAGAUGGAUUUGCAUCCCCGACUGUAGGCAAGAUAAGUGCAGGGCAAAGACCCAGAGAGG